rnacentral:rRNA from 1 species
CCUACGGGAGGCUGCAGUGGGGAAUAUUGGACAAUGGGGGGAACCCUGAUCCAGCCAUGCCGCGUGUGUGAAGAAGGCCCUCGGGUUGUAAAGCACUUUCAGUGAGGAAGAACGCCUGGUGGUUAAUACCCAUCAGGAAAGACAUCACUCACAGAAGAAGCACCGGCUAACGCCGUGCCAGCAGCCGCGGUAAUACGGAGGGUGCGAGCGUUAAUCGGAAUUACUGGGCGUAAAGCGCGCGUAGGUGGCUUGAUAAGCCGGUUGUGAAAGCCCCGGGCUCAACCUGGGAACGGCAUCCGGAACUGUCAAGCUAGAGUGCAGGAGAGGAAGGUAGAAUUCCCGGUGUAGCGGUGAAAUGCGUAGAGAUCGGGAGGAAUACCAGUGGCGAAGGCGGCCUUCUGGACUGACACUGACACUGAGGUGCGAAAGCGUGGGUAGCAAACAGGAUUAGAUACCCCAGUAGUC